UAUCAGGCUCCUCUCCUGUGGAAUCAUCUUCCUGUUACGGUCCGGGAGGCAGACACCGUCUCCACAUUUAAGACUAGACUUAAGACUUUCCUCUUUGAUAAAGCUUAUAGUUAGGGCUGGCUCAGGCUUGUCCUGUACCAGCCCCUAGUUAGGCUGACUUAGGCCUAGUCUGCCGGAGGACCCCCCUAUAAUACACCGGGCACCUUCUCUCCUUCUCUCUCUCUCUCUCUCUCUCGUAUUCUAUUACUGCAUCUUGCUAACUCGGCCAUUCUGGAUGUCACUAACUCGGCUUCUUCUCCGGAGCCUUUGUGCUCCACUGUCUCUCAGAUUAACUCAUAUCACAGCGGUGCCUGGACAGCGUGACGUGUGUGGUUGUGCUGCUGCCGUGGUCCUGCCAGAUGCCUCCUGCUGCUGCCAUCAUUAGUCAUUAGUCAUACUUCUACUGUUAUUAUACACAUAUGAUUAUUGUCACACAUGUAUACUGCCAGAUAUUAAUACAUACUUUCAACAUAUUGUACCGCAGUAGCCAGAACUAUAACUAUAAUAUUAUUACUUUCAUUAAUGUUGUUGUAAGAUACUGUUAUUACCUGCAUAUCUCUCUCUCUCUCUGUCUCUCUGUCUCUCUCUCUCUCUCUCUCUCUCUCUCUCUGUCUCAUUGUGUCAUACAGAUUACUGUUAAUUUAUCAUGCUGAUCUGUUCUGUACGACAUCUAUUGCACGUCUGUCCGUCCUGGAAGAGGGAUCCCUCCUCAGUUGCUCUUCCUGAGGUUUCUACCGUUUUUUCCCCGUUAAAGGGUUUUUUGGGGAGUUUUUCCUGAUCAGCUGUGAGGGUCAUAAGGACAGAGGGAUGUCGUAUGCUGUAAAGCCCUGUGAGGCAAAUUGUGAUUUGUGAUAUUGGGCUUUAUAAAUAAAAUUGAUUGAAUUGAUUGAUUGAUUGAUGAUCAAAAAACACAUCCAUAUUCAUUUGAAAUCAUGUGACCUAGUGAAAGCUUGAGUGAUGUGUACUGGCUGCUUUGAGGAUCUAAGUGCAGCAAACAGACACAAAUAUAUACUAGUUAAUGUCAGUGGAGAAACUGAGCAGGACUGCAUGUAUUCCAAUUCUUCAUGAGGUAAAAGAGUUUCACCAGGACAUCUUGUAUUUACAGGUUUUUGGUAUCAGGCAUUUCUUUCAGAGUUUUAGGAAUGAGCACCAUGAGCUGGACAGUUUGGUAAAUGUUAUACUUUCAUGUAUACACACACACACACACACACACACACACACACACACACAGUCAGACAGCCUGUAUGUACUUAGGUGACAGCACAGGCACUUAAGAUUAAACGUUACAGGAACAAGAGGGACUUUGCCCUUCGGCCGAGGUCCCUAAUUAUAAAAAUGACAUCAUUCACUUGUUGGUUCAUUUGUAUAUUUCAGACCACAGAGAGAGGACAUUUUGUUUUAGCUUUAGCUAAAGUUAGCCUGUGGCUAUCUGAGGAGCUAACCCUAAAGGCCUGUUCUUUUCCAGUUUACUAUUUAUCAGAGGAGGGGGGCAGGUGGGGAAACAUCCACGACUCUUUCUCCACCAAAAAUUAGUUAUUAGAUAUUUGAUGUUUGAAAGUUAAAGGUUGAAGAAAGUUUUUCACUUUUGUUGCUUUAUUUUUGGACAAAUCUUAAAUGAGAUGUAGAAUAAAGUGAUUUUAAUGAAAUAUCAUUAUUUCAAGAUCAUAUUUGGUUACGGGUUUAUUUUCUGACAGAAGUGUUCAUCACAUCCAACCAUGUUAGGAUGAAGUAACCUAGGCAUAGGCAUACGCCAUGUUUGUAUUAAUUUUAUUGAUUGAUGGCCAGCACAUCUGGAUCUGGUUUGGGCAGAGACCCAAAGUCUGGAUGCUAAUGGAUGAUGUGUUUUCUAUAGGGAUGCCACAGAUCAGUUACAUAGGGGGCCCAUAUACUUCAUCCUAACAAACCAUUUCUGUAUGCCCCGCCCCUAAACCAAAAUAAAAAUCAUAAGUCCCUCCUGAGUGCUUCAAAAAUGAGAAUAAAUAACGAACAGUCCUGAAGUUUUUUUCUUUUUGUUCGUUCACAUUUUAUAUUGAAAUUAUUUUCUAUAACAUGAGAAUCUGUCACACGGUGAAACAGACGCACGAUGUUGGUAGCACUGACCUGGUAUCGUUUGCAUA